UAAACCUAAUUUUCCUCUCCUUCCUCUCUCCCGACGGCGUUUCUCUUCUCACGCGAGCAGCAGCGAUUCUUUUCUCGGGCAGAGAACAAAGUCGCGGCUAGGGCAUAGUUUUCCAGCGGCCGGCCAAGGUUCAUCCGAGAGCUCUUCGCCUUCCCGAGAUCCUCUCAUCGAGAAGAAGCUAUAGGCGCAAGGAGAGGCCGGGAAACUCGAGCCAGCCGAAACCCUAGAAGUUCUCCUCCUCCGGUUGUGAGACCAAGAAGCCAAAUUUAGAUUCCUUUGCAGUGCAGAUUUUCGUUUAGUAUUUCAGCUUCAGCUUCAAUCUGCAGAUACAGGAAAGGAAAAGAUAUAGAAAGGAAGGCGACAAG